rnacentral:lncRNA from 1 species
AUAUAUACGUGUAUAUAUAUAUAGAAGAAUGCCAUUAAAUUAUUUGAUUUUUUUGUACAAUAAUAAUAAUACAUCAGCUUGAAACUUUCACAACUAUUUGAUAAAACCAUGAUAACAUGUUUCUGUAAUCUCCUAUAAGGAUGCAUACAGGGAGACAGAGUUAUGGAGUUAAGAGAAGCUCACACUCUCUCUCACAGAAAAGAAGUGAAGUGCAGAGGUAUUAUGGAAGGCC